GGACUUCCUCUGAGCCGCUGGUUCCUCUGCUGAAACGACCUGAACACGGUGUAGAACAACAUCUGGUCUCCGGUCUGCCGCGCUGCGUCCAGAAACUUCCUGGACGACACGUUGUCAUGGCCGCCUGAAACCAGCUCAGGAUAAAUGAAACGUCAACGUACCGACGCUGCGGAUGAAUCUGAGCGCGCCCAGAACCUGCUGCUUGGACAGCAGAACCUCGACGAUCUCAUCGUUGGCUGUGGAGAGACGCUAAAAAAAACACACAGAAUAAAUGAAAACAAUGAGAUUUAAAUAAAGAGUGUCUUUA